rnacentral:rRNA from 1 species
UGGGGAAUAUUGCACAAUGGGCGCAAGCCUGAUGCAGCCAUGCCGCGUGUGUGAAGAAGGCCUUCGGGUUGUAAAGCACUUUCAGCGAGGAGGAAGGUGGUGAGCUUAAUACGCUCAUCAAUUGACGUUACUCGCAGAAGAAGCACCGGCUAACUCCGUGCCAGCAGCCGCGGUAAUACGGAGGGUGCAAGCGUUAAUCGGAAUUACUGGGCGUAAAGCGCACGCAGGCGGUUUGUUAAGUCAGAUGUGAAAUCCCCGGGCUCAACCUGGGAACUGCAUUUGAAACUGGCAAGCUAGAGUCUCGUAGAGGGGGGUAGAAUUCCAGGUGUAGCGGUGAAAUGCGUAGAGAUCUGGAGGAAUACCGGUGGCGAAGGCGGCCCCCUGGACGAAGACUGACGCUCAGGUGCGAAAAGCGUGGGGAGCAAAACAGGAUUAGAUACCCUGGUAGUCCACGCUGUAAAACGAUGUCGAUUUUGGAGGUUGUGCCCUUGAGGCGUGGCUUCCGGAGCUAACGCGUUAAAUCGACCGCCUGGGGAGUACGGCCGCAAGGUUAAAACUU